rnacentral:rRNA from 1 species
AUUGAACGCUGGCGGCAUGCCUUACACAUGCAAGUCGAACGGUAACAGGUCUUCGGAUGCUGACGAGUGGCGAACGGGUGAGUAAUACAUCGGAACGUGCCCGAGAGUGGGGGAUAACGAGGCGAAAGCUUUGCUAACACCGCAUACGAUCUCAGGAUGAAAGCAGGGGACCGCAAGGCCUUGCGCUCACGGAGCGGCCGAUGGCAGAUUAGGUAGUUGGUGGGAUAAAAGCUUACCAAGCCGACGAUCUGUAGCUGGUCUGAGAGGACGACCGGACACACUGGGACUGAGACACGGCCCAGACUCCUACGGGAGGCAGCAGUGGGGAAUUUUGGACAAUGGGCGCAAGCCUGAUCCAGCCAUGCCGCGUGCAGGAUGAAGGCCUUCGGGUUGUAAACUGCUUUUGUACGGAACGAAAAGACUCUGGUUAAUACCUGGGGUCCAUGACGGUACCGUAAGAAUAAGCACCGGCUAACUACGUGCCAGCCGCCGCCGUAAUAC